AGAAAUAUUUAGAAAUAACUUGAUUUGCUUGAUAUGCUUCAUAUUUCUUAAUUAGCUCAACCCUAUAUUAUCUACAUGAGAAGUACUGUCAACUCAGAAGAGAUACUUAGUCUCAGUCUUCCAAAGAAUAAGUUUGUACAGGCAAAAUAUCAUCAACAUGAAUAUUUAAGAUAUUGUAUGUUCUAUGGGAAGAACCUGUAGGUUUAUUGGUGGCCUCAUUGUUCAUAAUAUUCUUAGCCCUCGGGUGAAACUUCUACCAAACCCCUUUAAGAUAGUUAUGUAUUAUAUUCCAACAGAAAAUUGCACUCUCAUCCAUUCUUAUCUCAUUGGUGACUGUAAUAAAUUAACCAUAGCCUUUCAGUCUCAUUAUUGAACAGUCACCUAUUUAUCUCUGAUACUUGCCUAAAUGCUCUACUUCAAACAUAGGCUAGAUCAGAUCUCAGAAUAGAAUGCAGACUCUGACAAAAGCCAACUUUAUUACAACUGUAUAAUACGACCUCUCUGAGAGGGCUACAUGAAAAUUCAUUUGACUUAUGUAACUUUGGAAGUGACAUAUCACCACAAGAUUCAAGACAAAAGAAACUGUCUGCAAGAAUCACUUGUAAUGUUUUUUCUUAUAAGACUAUAAAGAAAAGAACCAUUGUUCAUGUUUACUGGUAUGGAACCAUUGUUCAUGUUUACUGGUAUGGAACAAAAAAAUAAAUGAAUGGUAGAUGGUAGGAACGAGGUUCCUCACUGUUGGUGUGGGAGGUUAUAGAUAAACAAGGAAGAAGGCUAAAAUGAUCUAUGCACUAGAGCUGGAGAUGUCAGUAGAAGUAUGGUUUUCCUUAAUAUAAACGAAUUGGAUAAGUAUAGAACUAUUUAACUUGUAUGUAUAUACAUAAGUGAAUAUGUACACAUGUUUCUUUACUCUAUCAACUGAGAGGCAGAAAAGCAACAAAACCCAGGAGCCAUAAGCAUACCUAGUGAUCCUAUCUUUGAUACUAAUACCAUUUUCCAAAGAAAGGAAUGAAGAAUACUUGGGUAGAUGAAUAAUUCUGGGUCUAGAGCAGGAACCUUACAAGAGAGGCAUGGAGAAACCUGUAGUGUCUAAAAUUAAGGAAUUCCUAAACACACAUGCACACCGAUGGGGCUAUGUCAAAGGGACAAGGAACCAAUUAAAAGAGCCACCAAUGGUCAAAGCUGGGAUAAUUUGGGCAAUAAAACAAAAUGCUGUAGUUGUAUAAAAUUAAGGAAUUCCUAAACACACAUGCACACCGAUGGGGCUAUGUCAAAGGGACAAGGAACCAAUUAAAAGAGCCACCAAUGGUCAAAGCUGGAAUAAUUUGGGCAACAAAAAAAAAAUGCCGAUUUAAAGAAAUCAAAGAAUAAAUAAAUGGAAAAGCAUACUAUGUUUCUGGAUUGGAAGUGUCAGCAUAAGAAACAGGUCUGUUCCCCCUAGAUGACAUAUAGAUUUAUGCAAUCCUUAUGAAAAUCCCAACAAUAGUUUUAAUAAUUACAAGAUUUUUCAAAAAAUUUUAUGGAAUGAUAAAAGAAUUUGGUUAGCUUAAACAAUUUAAAAAAAUAAACUAUUCAGUUUCAAUUUAUUACAUUACUCAGAUAUCAAAGUUGUGUGGUACUGGUGGAAGGGUAGGCCUAUAAAUCAAUGAAACAUGACAGAACUCAGAAAUAGGCCUGAAAAAAACAUAUCCAACUGAUUUUUGGCAAAGGUAGGAGAUUCAGUGGAUGGACUUAGCAACAAGUGUCCCUGGAACAAUUAGACCCUUAGAGACAUAAUAAAAUGAAAUAAAACUCAUAGCUUAUACAAAUAUUAACUCAAAAUGGAUCACAAACUUAAAUGUAGGACAGAAAAAUAGAAAACUUUUAGGCAAAAAAAAUAAAGAAAUGAGUCUACUUACACAUGGAUUUUUUUUCAAUAAAUACUACAACACUAUGUAGGUGGUUGAAUCCACUCUAAAGUUAAAUACAGAUUUUCAACUGUAUGAGAAGUGGAGAACUUUAACCCCCGUGUUGUUCAAGGGUCACCUGUACAUAAAGAACACCCAAAACUCAUAGUAAAAACUAUCUAGUUAGAAAUUGGGCAACGGGAGUUCCAGUUGUGGCUCAGCAUUAAUGAAACCAACUAGUAUCCAUGAGGAUGCAGGUUUGAUCCCUGGCCUCACUCAUUGGGUUAAGGAUCAGCAUUUCUGUGAACUGGUAUAGGUUGCAGAUGCUCUUGGAUCUGGCAUUGCUGUGGCUGUGGCUUAGGCCAGGUGCUACAGCUCUGAUUUGACCC
rnacentral:lncRNA from 1 species